CCCUUAGAUGUUCUGGGCCGCACGCGCGCUACACUGACGAAUGCAACGAGCUUAUAACCUUGGCCGAAAGGUCUGGGUAAUCUCCAAAUUUCGUCGUGAUGGGGAUAGAUUAUUGCAAUUAUUAAUCUUCAACGAGGAAUGCCUAGUAAGCGCGAGUCAUCAGCUUGCGUUGAUUACGUCCCUGCCCUUUGUACACACCGCCCGUCGCUCCUACCGAUUGAAUGGUCCGGUGAAGCGCUCGGACCGCGGCCUCUUGACGGUUUUCCGUCGAUUGGCUGUGGGAAGUUCGUUAAACCUUAUCAUUUAGAGGAAGGAGAANUCGUANCA
rnacentral:rRNA from 1 species